rnacentral:rRNA from 1 species
AGUGAACGCUGGCGGUAGGCCUAACACAUGCAAGUCGAGCGGCAGCACAGUAAGAGCUUGCUCUUACGGGUGGCGAGUGGCGGACGGGUGAGGAAUACAUCGGAAUCUACUUUUUCGUGGGGGAUAACGUAGGGAAACUUACGCUAAUACCGCAUACGACCUACGGGUGAAAGCAGGGGAUCUUCGGACCUUGCGCGAUUGAAUGAGCCGAUGUGGGAUUAGCUAGUUGGCGGGGUAAAGGCCCACCAAGGCGACGAUCCGUAGCUGGUCUGAGAGGAUGAUCAGCCACACUGGAACUGAGACACGGUCCAGACUCCUACGGGAGGCAGCAGUGGGGAAUAUUGGACAAUGGGCGCAAGCCUGAUCCAGCCAUACCGCGUGGGUGAAGAAGGCCUUCGGGUUGUAAAGCCCUUUUGUUGGGAAAGAAAAGCAGCAGGUUAAUACCCCGCUGUUCUGACGGUACCCAAAGAAUAAGCACCGGCUAACUUCGUG